rnacentral:ribozyme from 1 species
AUCUACUGGCAUUAUUAGUCCAGUCAAAAGAAUUACUUCGAAGUACCAUUAUUCGUUUUCAACCAUGGUGGGAGAGCAAUC